GUUUUCAAUGUAAUAUUAUUAUUUAGCAGCAUUUUUAAAAAAUCUUAUGUCAUCCCAACAUGUUCCAAAAAUGCAGGAGUCAUUCUUAGUCCUAUUUUAAUCAAAUGCCACAGCAGAGAGGAACUAUUUUGCAAGGUAAAUACAUUCAAGAGGCUGAUCCAUUUUGCCCGAUUAGAAACCCUCCAGGGGCAAGUCUUUCAACCACUUGCAGGCUUGUUUAAAAAAAAAUCAGGAAAAUCAAGUUUUCCCAAUGAGAAAGCACCACAGACCUGUUCUAGGACUAAUAUUUGACAGGUCUCACUCCAGUGAAGGGCUUAUUUUCACCCUAAGAGCCACUCAGGCAGCUCGUUUUUGCACAUGCAUGACAGCAAAGAUUGCAAAGGUGAAGCCAUAUUUUAAUCACGUCCUCUCCAGGGUGUGAGUGUAUGCCUGGCGUGGGGGAGACAGAGGGUUGGUUAGCUAUGUUUGUUUCAGGGACAGACUCUCUGCAUGCUAACUGACCCUACAGCCCUAGAUGAUUUUGGGGGAAAUCCCCCCUGUUCUCUUUCAGUCAAACGCCCCAAACCCUUCUUCAGCACCUUUCCCUCUUCUCCCCCUCCCCUAUCGCCCCAUUCCCGCAUCCCUCCUUCCAGCCACAUGUCCACCUUCUCCCUCCCCCCAGCUAAGCGCUCUCCCGGCUCGCCACAUCCCCCACUUCCCUUCCUCCCUCAAACUAAUCAUCUGGACGCCCCCAACACAACGCCAGCCCCCCUCUCCUCAGCCAACAGCCAUUCUUCCCCUCCCCGCCACUGCUGGCACUGGGCACUUCCCCCACCCCGCAGUAGCAGCGGCGGCGCCGCACCCUAGUUAGCCUGCCCCUGCUGCGCCCGCGCGGCGGGGCGCGUUCGAUCAGCCCUGCGCCUAUGUUGCGCGCUCCCAUUUCCCUCCCUCCCUCCUCCUCCUUCUCCCCACCCUUGGCCGAACGAGACGAGCUGCGAGGGAGGGGCUGCUGCCACGCGCUCCCGCUGUGGUGGUAAUACAGCACUGGAUAUAUUUAAGAAACUUGAGCUAACAGCCUCCUGAUUUUAUUAGCGAGACAAGAGAGAGACACAGACAAGAAUGAGAACUUGCUAUUUAAGCACUGAGCCAUUGACAGGUGUCAAUCCACAUAAAAGGAACCAACUCUUCCUCUCCCUUCCUUGUCCUCAGUCUGCAAAGUUUUAACAAGUUAAUCUCUCAUCCAAUAUAAAUCCAAUCACACCUCUAACUGUCUUCGCUGCUCUUCUCCAAUCUCUGCUUUAUCUUUCUUGCGGGGAGCCAGUGACAACUGAGCUCAGUAAUCCAGAUGGUAAUGAACAAGAUUUCUUCGACGCUGGUGGCAGUAAAGGCAAAUUAAUGAAAGUUUUCUACAUAGUUCUUAAGAGCAAAAGUCUGCAAAGAUCUGAGGGAAGUUUGGCAGGCCUUCAUCCAUCUCCCAUAUGAGCCUGUACACACAUUAUUAUAAGAAUAACUGGAUUCUUUGAGAAGGCCACCUAAAUCAGAAAGACCAGAAGCUACCGACCCGAGCAAGAACUCCAAUGAUUGCCCUGGACUGCCUCCAAAACGGACUGAUCUGCCAGCUUCCUGAUGGCUCGUGCACCCUUGACUACUGCUAUGGAUCAUCCCCUUAGCCUCGGCCACCAAGCAUUACACCCAUCCAACUAUUAAGUCUCUGGGACUGCUUCCUCUCUUCCUGCUACAAGGCCAUUUGUUUAUUCAAAGAUCCCUGGAAUGGGUUCUUCUGGCCCUCUCUGGCAUUAAUAGCCAGUAUACCCUUUUACAGGGAGAAUUUAAACACUACUCUAGAGUGUCAUAAACAUAAACACAAAAGCAUUGUGUUAGAGCAUGAGAAUGAGAAAGUGAAACUGACACAAACCAGGGAAGUGAAACUUUCAGUCUACUAUCAUUAUCAAAGCUGAGUAAAAUGUAAAAAAGUAAGUGGUAUUCAUUCACUUUUAGUAUUCUAAGACAGCAGUUUAACAACUAUGGUUUGUGAAUCACUGACUGCAUGGUGCUGGUGCUCCUUGUUUCCAGUUUUUAAAUUGCAUUAAAAGACAGUUAAACAUAGCAAAUGAUUUUCUAAUAUUAAAUGUCUGUGUAAGCAAAUUGCUGUAGUUCCACAGGGAUGUCAUGCUGGAGUGAACUGAAGAGGAGGUGGUCUGUAUAGUCAUGAAUGGCCGAGAAGUGAUCUCUCAAUUUAAGAUGUGGUUCACAUUGCAAACUAAUUUGAAGAUAGCAGAUCCAAAUUGUUAUAAAUGAUAGCAGGCAAGUAUCUUAUUAUUUUGCUGUAAAUAUGUUUCUUAUUUUGUACAGAGGAUGAAAUGCCCAAGAAAAAUACUUAUCUGAUGAACUUAUCAUAAUUGAAAAUUAAGAGAAAUAACCUAUUAUUUUUAAUGUUAAAAAUUAGAUAGACAUGUAUAAUAUUACAGCUGCAACCUUCCAGUCAGUUCCAUUUGGUAUUAUUGCGUUUAAACAGAUUCAUGGGCACAGUGUGCCAGUCUGGGGAGCAAUUACAACUAUUUGAUUUUUAUCAAAACAUUUAUAUUGAAUAAUUAUUUUUUUACGUUUAAUUAACAACACAUAAAAAGCUUGAUAUUUUAAUAAAACAUCAACAUUUUGCACUGCAAUGCAUUAGGUCCUGUUCAACUGCCAAGUAAACAGUGAAUGUGUACAGUGUGGCAACUGUUUGACAUGUCAGUUGUUUAAUCAUUAGAGCUAGACAAAUACUGCAAACUAUUUUUCUGUGAAUAUUUGCUUGAAUUUAAUGCUCAUGCCCCUUUUGUACUUACUUUCAACAAAGACUUGAGCAAAUAGGCUUUACUUGUACAAAUAUUAAUGGAGGGUGAAAUUCUAUCCUGUGCAGAGAAGCAAUGCAAAGUCCUAUUUGGGUGCAAAAAGUGGUGUAUAUGCCUCUUGGGUUGGCUCUCUGCACAAAGGUGGAUUUCACCAGAAAUAUAAAUGGUCUGGACAAAGAUACAGUGUGACCAUGCUUUUCACAAUUAGGACCACACACAUGUAAUCAUUUUGUGUCAAUCACUGUGGUGAUGAGAGAAAUUUGCAGACCAAUGAAUACAGUAAACUAGGUAUAUUUUAGUUGGGAUGAUACCUGGUGCAGUACACUAGGGGCAAUUAAAUGAACCAGACGAGGUUCUGACUGUACCUUUCUCAGUGGCUUAUAUACACAUGAAAGAAAAUUAAACUUGAGCUCAGUUUCCAGCCAAUACAUUUGACAGAAAGCUAUUUUUUUUUACAAGUGUGAUGCCUUGGGAAAGAUCUGUGUGUUUAAGAAAGAAAAAUAAAAUAAAAAGUUCUAAAUUCCCUAAUCCUAUUUAUCUGCUAUUACUCCCUAAGAGUCUCAAAAGCCAUUGAAAGUGCUAUGCUCAUCCAGGCAGGGGGCAGAUAUAACACCAUCUGACUAAUCUGACCAAUCACAGUUAAACCGUGAUGUUCAUAUUUCUACUCUCCUCGUCUAUCCUCGUCCAAAACUGUUUGUAAUCAAUCUGAAGAGAAAUUAAGUAUGGAAAAACUGAGGUGAAUAAAUUCAAGAAAAUCUGGAUCUGCUCUUGGGCAUUCUGUAAGCAUUAAAAGUGGUUAGUUUAGUUUAAUACAUCGUUAACUGUCUAUUCAUCUCAGUCUAGUGAUUACUAACAAUUACAUUAAAUAUUGAAGUGUUUUAAACAGGUGAUGAGAGUUAUAGUAUUAAUUUCACAAGUGUCCAACCACCACUUUUGUGUUAGAUUCCCACGGGGAGUGGUAGAAGACCCAACACUUAAUUUAAACCUAUGCUGGACAAUGUACUUAAUGAUGUAUGGUCUGUUUAUAUUUAAUCCCUUAUAUUUAAGUGACCGAAAUUAAAUUCCAGAAUAAAUGUUUGAAUGAUAAUAAGCAAUUGAUUGAAACAGACAAAAGGCAAGGAAUCUAAUGGAAGGCUAAUGCUUCUCCAGGAGUUCAUAACGUUCUGUGGGAGGUGAAAAGGGAGAAGUGGGGAAAAGGGAAAAAAUAAGAGGAACUAUGAUGUGAGGCCCCAAUCUUGGAAUUUCCCAUUAACUUUUCUCACUGAGAAGCAAACUUUAGCAUUAUUUAUUUGUAACUUUUUAUAAUUUCCCCUUUCUGAGGGAAAAUAAAAGAAAAUAUUCACAAGAAAGAUUUUAAAAUUUCAUACUUUUAUCUAUUGCCUUCCAAUUUAUGGUCUCUUGGGCAAACGGGCAGUUUUUCAAAACAUGUAUCAUGUCUCUGACAGACUGGAACAGCUUGCAGUCUUUCCAGUCUAGUGGUUUAAAUCUCUUUUUUUUGUGUGUGGUAUCUAUAUCUAUAUCCUCUAUAUCGAUAUUAAGUCAUAUUAUUUAAGUCCUAGACUGGAGAGGGUUCUGAUUUAUCAUGCAUUUAGAUGUUUAGCUAAAGUGUGACAGUGUUGCAAGCAAAAAAUUUUCAGCAAACAUGUCAAUAACAUUUACUGCAAAUGUGCAGUAGCCAAUUGUUAACUUGCAAUAUCUUUGGCUCUGCAGUAAUAAUUAAUAAAACACCAAAUGCAAAUUGGCCAUGUUAUGAAUGAACUGCUUGUUAAAUUUCAUUUCCUGCAUCAAAGUAAUUAUAUCAAUACAAACUCAAUAUCUGAAACACUUUUUUUUUAGUGCAUGGGUAAAAAGGUCCAAAUGGAUUUUUCCACUAAAAUAUUCUUGUGUACAUGGGGAAAUUGACUGGCAUAACUAUAGUGGAAUAAGCUAUUCUACAGCAGAGGAAUUAUUCUGAAAUAAAGUCACUUUUUUGCCAGAAUAGAAUGUCCACACAGGGAGUUAUUCUGACACAGCUAUCACAGAAUAGUUUAUUUCGUUGUAACUAUCAUGGUCAAUAUUUGUGUCUAGACAAGUUACAAAGAAUAUGGUCUUGAGCUUUAACACUUCAUGCCAUGAUGUUGCCUAGAACAGUGGUUCUCAAACUUUUUUUUUUC